AAAAAAAUAGUCACUUUGUGAUAUUAUAUUUUCAAAUAUAUGCACAAAUAAUAUAAUAUAUAAUGAGAUGAUUAUACGUCUUUAGUUAUUUUACAUUGUGAGCACAUAUUGAUUAAAUCUAUUUUUUUUAAAUACAUUUUAGUUAAGAUAUUUUUCCUUUUUUCAAAAGGUGGUAAGACAUUUCUAGCUUUGCCUCGAAUGAUGAUAUUUUGAAGCACUAUAUUCUUGAAAAAGUAAGAUGUUAUUCUAAUCACAUGUUUAAAAUAUUUGAGUUGCUUACCACUCAAAUCUUAACGAUUUGGUUAUUGAUUAUUAGUUGGGAUUCUCUUUUAUAAAAAUAUAUUGAUGAUUCUAUUUUAUAAAAGACAUGGACACAAUAGUUUUAAAUAAUUUAAAAAUAUUUUAAAGGCUUAAAUAUGCUUUUCAUCCCUGUAAUUAUAGGCCAUUUGAUUUUUCAUCCCUGAGCUUACUAAUCCUCCCAUUUUGCCCCUGCAAUUACUAAUCAUUUUAAAAUUCGUCCUAAUUACAAAAAUUUGUUGAGGUGGAGGGUAAUUAGAUACGUGGCAUUUGGUGAAUGGAGUUUUGUCAGGACACGUCAGCAGAUGGCGAGGGAAAUGACAUUUUUGCCCUUAAUGAGUUUGUUAUCGCGCGCAAUGACCAUUUUACCCCUGCCUCCAUCUUUUCUUCUUCACGUAUUCUUCUUCUCUUCUCAAUCAGAAACAUGAAAUUGGGGGGAAAAUGUUCUAGGGUUUAGGGUUGAAAUGCGAAUUGGGGAAAAUUGUUGAGAAGAUUUCGAUUGGAACUCGAUUGUGUAACACCCCGUUACCCAAAAGCAAUUAAAUAACAAAUAUUCAUCAGAGUAAUUCCACAACGGGCAUGCUACACGUCAUUUCAAAAUUUCUUAAAUAGAAAAUAAAACUAUUUAGUCAAAACAACUUGAUAUAUAUGAAAACAUAGCAGCGGAAUAGUUUUCAAAUCCAUAACCUCAUGAACAUCCAACAACAGUCUAUGGCAUUAAAGGCCUUAGCAUAAGUCAACAUCAUUGUUCAAAAGACAAUAAAAGGCUCCACAUCACAAUUCCAAAAUUUGAUACAUGGAAAGGAAAAACAACAAUAAUAUAAAUAAUAAUUCCCAUCCCACGUAUCAGAGCCCUAGACACGACAUUGAGCCACCACCAACUACUCAGGAUCACCUGCAAGUUACCCAUAGGAAGGGCAACAUUUUCAAGCAGAAGGGGUGAGAUUCACAACAAUAAAUAUAGAUAUUAAAUCUUCAAUUGAAUCUAAUACCCUAUAACAUCAAAUACAUUAUCUUGCAAAUAUACAUAAUUAGUUCACAAGCAACAACAGCAUCAUCAUAAUCCACUUAACAAGUAUGUAUACAAUGUACAUAUUCACCAACAACAUCAUCAUCAUCAAGUAACAACCAAAAUCAACAACUAAGACUCAUGCAAAUGACAUGACAACACUGCUAAGACAACACCUUAGACUUCUCAAUGGAUGCAAAUAUGCAUGUGGUACCAAACAGGACCGAAGCCCUCACCGCUUUUGAAUGGUUAAAGCAUUCAUCAGGGCCGAAGCUCUCACCGCUGUUGAGCAACUAGUACUCCAGGACAUGAGUCAUCUCCGCUGUUUUAUGCAUAUGCAAUGGACCUACUUGUGUAUAUCUACAUACAACUGACCAUGCAAUGCAAACUUCAUGUGACACCACUUAAACAACAUGUGUGAUUCAAUAAAUAACAUACAUUUCAGUCAUCAUCAGUAAUCAUCAAUCCAGCAAUCCAAUCAUCCCAAAUAAUGCAUAAUUACAUAUAACCAUGCUAAAAACUACAACAUCAAACACUACCAUCCAUACAAACAAACAGCACUCAGGAACUGUGCAACUCGCCUCGCGAGCACAUCUACUCGCUAUGUCGAGUUCACAAAACUACUUGCUCGCCAUGGCGAGUUCAAGGCGAACUCGAGGCGAGUGAAAAAUAGGUGCUCUCGGGAAAAAUGACAUUUUCUCACUCCAACUUCUAUACUAAGCUCCCUAAUCAUCUUUUUAACCUGAAAAUUGUUCCAGUCUUCAUUAUUAUCAUCUAGGUACCUUAAACCAUCCCCAAAACAUCUUAUAACAACUUUUUAAAAAUCAAGUUUUAAUCUGGGCUACUCGCCAUGGCGAGUUGGUCUGCUCGCGAGGCAAGCUAUGAAGUUGCUCACUCGCCAUGGCGAGCAAGGCUACUCGCGAGGCGAGCGAUGAACUUUUGUACGGGCAGAAAACUGGUGUCAUACCCCAAUUUUUGACCUAAGACAGCACUGACACGUGUCAUUUAGCUCCGACCGGUCUCAGCCCUUCGAGCAAAAAAUUCGGCAGGGAGGUAUUUUAAAAUACCUCAUAGUUGAUUCCGAGUCGGGCCCUCUUCUCUCAAUUUUCAAUUUUUUAUUCAAAUUUUAUGUUUCCAUCUUUUUUAUUUAGAAUCCUUUUUUUAUUGACUUUAAAUUCAUUUUUUUAAUCUUUAUUUUAUCUCAUUUAUAUUCAUUUUUUAGUCCUUUUAUUUUAUUUUUAAUAUCCAAAGAAAAAAUUAAAAUGCUGUCCGAUAAUAUCCAAAUAAACAGCACAAAGCCUCAUGCUUCCUCUCCAAGCCACAAAAACAGCCUGUCAUGUUCCUCUCCUAGCCACAAAAACAGCCUGUCAUGUUCCUCUCCAAGCAACAAAAUUGUCUUAAUCACAAGCUCUAUAAAUAUAACAUUACAGACACAAUCAAAAAGGGACAGAAUUUCAAUUGCAAAACCUGCAAAUCACAUAACACCACAAUCGUUUUCUGAAUCAACACAAACACAAUUUUUCAUCAUCAUUUCCGCACAAUGUUUUAACCCAGAACCAGCAACCAAAAUCCAACAACAAACCACCACAACCAUCGAACCAAGAUCCAAAGUAAAAGAGGUAUAAAGAUUUUUCUUUUUCUUUCUAGAUCUAGGAUAAACAGUGUUUGUUUUAGAAGUUUUGAACCUAGAAUCAAAAAGAGAAGAAGAAGAGGUCUUAAAAAAACGUUUUUUUUAAAAAAAAGGGGAGUUUUUUUCCGGCGCGGUGGCGCCGCCGCGACAACUCGCCGGCCACCGCGCCGGAAACUGAGUUUCACGGUGGUGUUCUUCAACACUCACCGGAAACUUCAUCAAAAAAAACAGAAGAAAGAAGAUAAGAAGAGAGAGAAGAGAGAGUACGUGAGAGAAAAAGAAAGUGAAGAGAGAGAAGAGAAAAAAAGAAAUGAAGGAAAAAGAGAGAAAUGGGUAUUUAUACCCCUUUUAUUUGGCAGAUUAAAUCAAGGCCGUUGAUCAAAUCAACGGCCGAGAUUCGAUCUCUGAGGUCCAACCUUGUUCUUGGCCCAUCUUUUUCGUUUUAUUUUCUGCACCCCCCUUUACUGCUCACACACCCCCAGCAUCUCAUUUUUUCUAAUUUCUUUUUCAUGCAUUUUAAUUCUCGCUCUAUCUGUUAAUCCAGAGUGCUCUGGUCCAAAAUUAACUUAAUAUUAUAUUCUUGCUUAAUUUAGUUAUUCUCCAGAAUAAUCUGGUCCUAUAUUAACUAUUAAUAUUAUAUUUCUGUUUAAAUUAAUUAUUCUCCAGAGUGCUCUGGUCAUUGUUAAUUAAAUUAAUCCAGAGUGCUCUGGUCCUAAAUUAACUGUUAAUAUUAUAUUUUUGUUAAUCCAGAGUGCUCUGGUCCUAACUUAAAUGUUAAUAUUUAUUUAUUUUUGUUUAAUUUAAUUAUUCUCCAGAAUAUUCUGGUCCAUGUUAAAACAACUUCACAAUUCAGCUUAACUUCAUUUUUCUCAUUCUGCUUAUAUAAUUUUCAUAUCUUUAUUCCAAAACAACAAAAACAUUUAAAUAACAAAUCACAAAAAUAUUUUUUCAUUACAAACCUUGAUUCUCAAAUCAAGUGAUCGUUCUUUUUAUUUUUCUUAAUCAAAUUUCAAAUCAAGUCUAAUUCAACUUCAAGUCAAUUUUCUUCAAUCUAAAAAACACAAAUCAAUUCUCAUUUGCCAUUUGGCUUUUUAUUUCAAAACCUUUUUCAAAACAUAUAAAAAACACUAAACAGAUCAAACGUCAAUUUCUACCCCGAACUACGAGGUUUUGAUCCCUCACGGGUACGUAGGUAGAGGACCUUGUCCUUCCAAAUCAAUUAAAAAACAAUUUUCUUUUUUCUCUUUUCAAUUAUCAACUAAAAAACAAUUUUCUUUUGCCUCUUCAAUUAAAAUCAAUUUUCUUUUUCCUUUUCAAUUCAUCUUUCAAUUCCAUUUUCAUCUUUUUAAAAGCAAGCAAGUUUAAGCACAAAAAGUUAAAUAAAAUCAAGAGGUUCUCGUAGAGUACUACGAAUAUUUAGGGUGCUAAUACCUUCCCUAAAUAUAACCAACCCCCGAACCCUAAAUCUCUUCAAAAUGGGUGGUUUGGAACUUUUUCCCCUUAAAAAAAAUUUGUUCAGUCGUGAGAUAAAAAGUGAGUCAAAAGCUAAUCAAAUGGCCUUGACAUCCGAAAAAUGGCGCGGCAACUGGUUUUUCCCAAAAAUCCCAUUUUUCUUCCAAUCACUCCCCAAAUCAGUUUACAGAUGAGAAAUGAAUGUUUCUAUGCAACCAAAACCAAAUUCUAACAUCAGAACAGCAAUAUCUACCCCAAAAACCAUUAAUUCAAUUUAUACCCAAUUCUUCAAUUUCACUCCAAAACCUGUUAAACUCAAAAUCAGACUUUAAAAUCUACACUAUUGAAGUAAACCUCACCCUUACCUUAAAUUUGCAGAAGAAAUGCACAGCAAAAAUCAACUCUUGGUUCUUCCUUGGUUCUCUCUUGCUUUCUCCCAAAACUGGUUCUACGUGAAACUGAUUCUAACUUCUCUGUAUAACUUCCCACUCAAAAGUAACUCCCUUCUAAUUACACUUAACUCCCCAUAAUUUCUAUUAACUUCUAUUAACUCCCCAAACACCAAAAUAAUUAUUAUUUCAUACUUAUUCUAAUUAUUAUCAAAUAAACCAUAUAAUAAAAUAAUACACCACAUAAAUCACUCAAAAAUCACGCAUAUAUAUAAAUAUAUACAUAUACUCCACAUAAAUCACCAACAUCAUAUAUAACUAUAUAUAUACUCCACAUAAAUCAAAUUAAUUAAAUAUAACAACUAGGACGUUACAGAUUGCCUCCGAAAAUUGGUGUUGGAAUCUCUAUUGGAACGCAAAGCACUAAAUCGAACUCGUUUGUAGAAAGGUAUCGUGAAGAAGAAAAACCCAGGUACCAUCGUUUGUUUGUAUAAAUAUGUUGUUUGUAUAAAUAUGUUAGUUUUGUUUGUUUUUUCGGUGAAAUAGAUGAUAAAAAACAUGUGGGUUUCUAUUUUCGCAUGCUUAGUGUGGUGCAUUUUUGUACCAUUGUUGUGUUGCUGAGUGAGUGUAUUUUUGUUUCAGAAUGCGUGAAGAAGAAAAGAUGGAGGCAGGGGUAAAAUGGUCAUUGCGCGCGAUUCCAGACUCAUUAAGGGUAAAAAUGUCAUUUCCCUCGCCAUCAGCUGACGUGUCCUGACAAAACUCCAUUCACCAAAUGCCACGUAUCUAAUUACCCUCCACCUCAACAAAUUUUUGUAAUUAGGACGAAUUUUAAAAUGAUUAGUAAUUGCAGGGGCAAAAUGGGAGGAUUAGUAAGCUCAGGGAUGAAAAACCAAAUGGCCUAUAAUUACAGGGAUGAAAAGCAUAUUUAAGCCUUUAAAUCAAAACAUGUUAUUAUAUUUCCUCUGCUCAUUCUGUCAACAAAAUUGCUUUGUCCAUUUGCCAUUUACCUCGACAAUCCAGACUCGCAGCAUUACUAUGCAAAUUAAAUUUGAGUGGAUACCUGCAGCUUUCUUUAUUAUUUUUCUAAUUAGAUCACCAUGACAUUGUAGGCGUGCGUUUGCACAUCCACAAACAGAUUAGUAUAUAUAGUAUAUACAGAAUAGUAUAUGUUCCUGACAUAAUUGAAUAUAUCGAUUCCAUUUUACAAAAUUCUGUUAUGGCAUAUAAAACUGGAUUGGUUCUUGGCUUUCUAUAUGCACAACGAGUGAAUUACGUUGAAGAAAGUUAUGUUGAUUCUCAUAUCAAAAUGGAAUGGAUUAAAAAAAUUCUCUAGCUUAAAAUUGAGUUCAAUCUUCAUAAAAUUGUAUGCAUCAUGCAAUUUUAUUUAGUACAUCAUUUAACGCGUUCAAGAAUAAGAUGUUUUUUCAUUCUUGUUUUAGUUCCCUAUUUAUAUUUUAUAAAAAUGAAUAUAAUGCAAGUAAAUAGCAACUACAGAGCAUGAUGAAUUUUGAAGGACAACAACCCAGGCAAUUCAUCCACAAGCUAGCUCAAGCUAAGUAAAAUUUUCUUCCGAGAAAAUUUCAUUUAGAUCACAAUAUCUGCUAAAACUAAAAUUGCUAGGAAGAGAGAUAUUUAUUUAACAUACAACAUGUAGAAUAAAGGAUAUAUCGGAUGUCACAAUGAGAUAGCCCCGCUUGAACAAGGGUUUACUCCUGACGAUGACUAAAUUUCUCUCUUUUUUUUUUCUUUUCUUGCAAGACCUCUCAAGCAGUCAUGGAAGAGUUCAUCUCAUUCAGUAUGCGAUGGUACCUAUUAUGCUCUGCGGUGUUUUUGAAGCCAGGCAGAAAAUCUGUAAAGAAUCUUAGAACUGCUGCAAGAUGUUGGGAGUCAUUGGAUACAAAAGCUGCUUCUAAGAACAACGAUGGUCGGAUGGUAUCCACCUGAAAAUAAUUCUCACACCAGUUAGCUUUGGAGUUCUAAAAUUAAAACAAAAUCAUAAACGCAAACCCUGUGAAACUUUCACGCUUCGUUAUACACGCUCUACAUGAUAACUACUUGAAGCAGCUCUUGAUGGUAUGCUUCAGUACAUUAUAAAUUUGCUUCAGAUAGCAAAUACGCAUAUACUUUAUAGUUACAAGAUCGACAAUUUGAAAAUUACAUUAAUCUUUGUUCGUAAAAAGUUCACAAUUCAAAUUUCAAAAUUAGUAAAGCACCAGAGCCUCUCCAACUACACCAACAACGUAAACAUCUCAGUUUAUGAUCAUAAUUCAUAAAUAGUUACUCAGUCAGUGAAGUUUCAAUGCAGUAGCAGCAACAGCUUUUCCAUUAACUGGAAUUGAUUAGAUGGAUAGCACAAUGGCAAAAUAUCCUAUUAUGAUUCAAUGCAGUAAAUAAUUAUUUUUUUCAUCAGUGAUGACACAAUCCAUCUUAAACAAAGUGACAUGGUUCACCCCACUAGCUCGAUUUGAAUUGGCAAAGCAACCUGUGCUGACACAGUCACUUGCUAGACUACAAUGUUAGGGGAUGGACCGCUUUACACUGCAGAGGUAUGGAAAUAGCUAACUGUGAUGACGCAGUCAAAUGAGUCUUGUUCCAGCAUGGACCAUUCAUAUUUUAACAUCGUAAAAAAG
rnacentral:lncRNA from 1 species